rnacentral:rRNA from 1 species
UACCAGCACCCCGAGUGGUCGGGACGAUUAUUGGGCCUAAAGCAUCCGUAGCCGGUUCUACAAGUCUUCCGUUAAAUCCACCUGCUUAACAGAUGGGCUGCGGAGGAUACUAUGGAGCUAGGAGGCGGGAGAGGCAAGCGGUACUUAGUGGGUAGGGGUAAAAUCCGUUGAUCCAUUGAAGACCACCAGUGGCGAAGGCGGCUUGCCAGAAUGCGCUCGACGGUGAGGGAUGAAAGCUGGGGGAGCAAACCGG